rnacentral:rRNA from 1 species
GCGGCGUGCCUAAGAAAUGCAAGUCGAGCGGGGAGCAAUCCCAGCGGCGAACGGUCGCGUAACACGUAAGCAACCUGCCCGAAAGACCGGGAUAACGUUCCGAAAGGGGCGCUAAUACCGGAUGUGACCGCGGGGAGACAUCUCCCUGUGAUUAAAUCAUUUAUGGCUUUCGGAGGGGCUUGCGGCCUAUCAGCUAGAUGGCGAGGUAACGGCUCACCAUGGCGUCGACGGGUAGCUGGUCUGAGAGGAUGGUCAGCCGGACUGGGACUGAGAUACGGCCCAGACUCCUACGGGGGGCAGCAAUUAGGAAUCUUGCGCAAUGGGCGAAAGCCUGACGCAGCGACGCCGCGUGGAGGAGGAAGGCCUUCGGGUUGUAAACUCCUUUUAGGUGGGAAGAAACAAAUGACGGUACCACCAGAAUAAGCCCCGGCUAACUCCGUGCCAGCAGCCGCGGUAAUACGGAGGGGGCGAGCGUUGUCCGAAGUUACUGGGCGUAAAGCGCGCGUAGGUGGGUUGGUAAGUCCGCUGUGAAAGCCCGGAGCUUAACUCCGGA